CAGGCCUAACACAUGCAAGUCGAACGGCAGCGCGGGAGCAUCCUGGCGGCGAGUGGCGAACGGGUGAGUAAUAUAUCGGAACGUGCCCAUUAGUGGGGGAUAGCCCGGCGAAAGCCGGAUUAAUACCGCAUACGACCUGAGGGUGAAAGCGGGGGAUCGCAAGACCUCGCGCUAUUGGAGCGGCCGAUAUCAGAUUAGCUAGUUGGUGGGGUAAAGGCCUACCAAGGCAACGAUCUGUAGUUGGUCUGAGAGGACGACCAGCCACACUGGGACUGAGACACGGCCCAGACUCCUACGGGAGGCAGCAGUGGGGAAUUUUGGACAAUGGGCGCAAGCCUGAUCCAGCAAUGCCGCGUGCAGGAAGAAGGCCUUCGGGUUGUAAACUGCUUUUGUCAGGGAAGAAAUCCUUUGGGUUAAUACCUCGGAGGGAUGACGGUACCUGAAGAAUAAGCACCGGCUAACUACGUGCCAGCAGCCGCGGUAAU
rnacentral:rRNA from 1 species